rfam:Pan troglodytes isolate Yerkes chimp pedigree #C0471 (Clint) chromosome 4, whole genome shotgun sequence.
AAUUUAGUAUAAGUAUAUCCCAAGCAAUAUUUGGGACAUAUUUAUAUUAAAA